GUAGGUGGCGAGCGUUAUCCGGAAUGAUUGGGCGUAAAGGGUGCGUAGGCGGCCCGUUAAGUCUGGAGUCAAAGCCGGCAGCUCAACUGUCGUACGCUUUGGAAACUGGCGGGCUGGAGUGCAGAAGAGGGCGAUGGAACUCCAUGUGUAGCGGUAAAAUGCGUAGAUAUAUGGAAGAACACCAGUGGCGAAGGCGGUCGCCUGGUCUGCAACUGACGCUGAAGCACGAAAGCGUGGGGAGCAAAGAGGAUUAGAUACCCUGGUAGUCCACGCCGUAAACGAUGAGUGCUAGGUGUUAGGCCCUUUCCGGGGCUUAGUGCCGCAGCUAACGCAUUAAGCACUCCGCCUGGGGAGUACGACCGCAAGGUUG
rnacentral:rRNA from 1 species